UACAGAGGGGGCAAGCGUUAUUCGGAAUUAUUGGGCGUAAAGGGCGCGUAGGCGGCUUGGCAAGUGGAUGGUGAAAUCCCUCGGCUUAACCGAGGAACUGCCGUCCAAACUGCUUGGCUUGAGACCAGGAGAGGUGAGUGGAAUUCCCAGUGUAGCGGUGAAAUGCGUAGAUAUUGGGAGGAACACCAGUGGCGAAGGCGGCUCACUGGACUGGUACUGACGCUGAGGCGCGAAAGCGUGGGGAGCAAACGGGG
rnacentral:rRNA from 1 species